rnacentral:rRNA from 1 species
AUACGUAGGUGCCAAGCGUUAUCCGGAUUUACUGGGCGUAAAGGGCGUGUAGGCGGUCUUGCAAGUCAGAAGUGAAAUUCCUGAGCUCAACUCGGGCGCUGCUUCUGAAACUGCAGGACUUGAGUGCUGGAGGGGAUAGCGGAAUUCCUAGUGGAGCGGUAAAAUGCGCAGAUAUUAGGAAGAACACCGGUGGCGAAGGCGGCUAUCUGGACGGUAACUGACGCUGAGGCGCGAAAGCCGUGGCAGCAAACAGGAUUAGAUCCCCGGGUAUUCCACGCCGUAAACGAUGAAUACUAGGUGUAGGGGGUAUCGACUCCCUCUGUGCCGCAGUUAACACAAUAAGUAUUCCACCUUGGGAGUACGGCCGCAAGGUUGAAACUCAAAGGAAUUGACGGGG